rnacentral:rRNA from 1 species
CCACGCCGCGUGUGUAGAAGAAGGCCUUAUGGUUGAAAGACUUUAAGGGAGGAGGAGGCUUACCUGGUUAAUACCUAGGAUAAGGGGACGUUACUCGCAGAAUAAGCACCGGCUAACUCUGUGCCAGCAGC